rnacentral:rRNA from 1 species
GACGUAGGGCGCGAGCGUUGUCCGGAUUUAUUGGGCGUAAAGAGCUCGUAGGCGGCUUGUCGCGUCGACCGUGAAAACUUGGGGCUCAACCCCAAGCCUGCGGUCGAUACGGGCAGGCUCGAGUUCGGUAGGGGAGACUGGAAUUCCUGGUGUAGCGGUGAAAUGCGCAGAUAUCAGGAGGAACACCGGUGGCGAAGGCGGGUCUCUGGGGCCGAUACUGACGCUGAGGAGCGAAAGCGUGGGGAGCGAACAGG